rnacentral:rRNA from 1 species
UACAGAGGGUGCGAGCGUUAAUCGGAAUUACUGGGCGUAAAGCGUGCGUAGACGGCUAUCUAAGUCGGGUGUGAAAGCCCCGGGCUCAACCUGGGAAUUGCAGUCGAUACUACUUAGCUAGAGUAUGGGAGAGGGCAGUGGAAUUCCCGGUGUAGCGGUGAAAUGCGUAGAUAUCGGGAGGAACAUCAGUGGCGAAGGCGGCUGCCUGGCCCAAUACUGACACUCAGGUGCGACAGCGUGGGGAGCAAACAGG